AAAAUAGCCAUUCUGUGAAAUCAGAUUGAAAUGAAUGCACACUGAAAACUGGCCAAGGUCCCAGGGAAUGUUUGUGUCAGGGCUGGCCCAGCUCCAGGAACAAAAGGCACAGAGGGCUUUGGGUUUCGCGUCAUUUCCAGUAACAUGAAGGCCACACACCUUCAGUGUGGCAAUAAUAUAAAAACCCUCAGGUGCUCCAGUCAGCACAGGUCCUGGUGUUGUGGGCUAUCAGGAUCUGGCGCCUGUCCAGUGUCACCGUGAUUUCCUGGAUGGCUCUCAGGAGUUUCCCGCUUUCUCUAGCACUCUGGGAAGAUGAUACUAUAAAAUCAAGUAGAAGAAAAUAUGCCAUAUGGACAGCUAAUGGGUAAGAAUAAAGAAGACAACGUCCAAGGCCUACCUUAAAAAGGAGUCUAGCAGUAUGACCUGCCCUCACAAACGCUCUGAAGAAAAGCUUUUGUCCUUAACCUGUGAGUGAUCUAGUAAUUUCAUGCCCUGCAAGGAAAAUUCCCUGUCUUGAAUAUGCCACUGAGAGGACAAAAUUCAAAUUUUUCCUCAGUUUUAAAUCACACUCAGCCACCAUGUGUUUGCAGCCUCAGUUCAUGGACUCUGUAACUCCCAGCAAGAACAAAGGAUCUGUAAGCCAACAAAGCAGUGUGAUAGGAUUCUGGGCUGGUAGCUGGUGGCUGAGGGACCUGGCUCCAAGCCGAAAUCCUAUACAGUACAUACUUUUUCAGGUUCUAUCUAACCAAUUACAAGCUUUACCUGGAGGGGGUCAUUGGGAAAGCUGCCCUCCCCACACCAGAUUUGGGGCACUGAGAAAUCACUGUUUUUCCGAUGCAGGAUCUGUCAAGAACCAAUCAUCCCUUGGACCGCUACUUCUCCACCUGUGCUGCUCCAAGCAAAUCUGCAUUCCUAGCCUAGCUCUUCCACUCAGGGAACUUAUUUUUCCAUUUUGACUUUGACUUUUCACUCCUGGCCCUAUUCACUCUUCUCUCUCCAGAAUUGGAAAGCUAGAGUCUUCUCCAACUCAUUUCUUACAAUUGAGAUGCUUCCCAGGCUUCAGUUAGAAGGUCCUACAGAUUUUAACACCUGGUCAGAAGACGGUCUGAACUGAAGCUCACCUGGAGGAGUAGAACGACCAGCAAUGUGUGGGCCAGAGGCAGCAGACAUCUCCGUUUUCUGAUGCAGCUCUGCAGUAGGACACCCUUUCCAGAACUGCAGGCAUGAAUGGUGUCCCUGGCCAUGCAGGAAGCUGGUGUGUUCCUUCCUCAGCCUUGUUCCAGCCUUGGCUAGCAGAUGCAGGCUGCCCCUGAAAAGUAUGACCUCAGCCAAACCACUGUCUGCUCCUGAGACAGCCAGAUUCUUUCUGGAAGGGAGAUCUGAGGAGUGGCCUCCAGGUCUGCCACAGGGAGCUGUCAAGCUGGCUUCUACUGGCUUCUGCUGCCUAGAGGGGCUUUGAGGCAAAAUGCCAGACACCUGCUAGUGUGGGCAGCUACCAGGGCAAAGGCGGAUCUGAAUUUGCAGGAGCUCUUCUCUUGUGACUGAAAGUUGAGGUGAGUUUGUGGUAUGUGAUAUGAAGAAUAAUACGUAAAUACCAUGGUCUGGCUCUUAUACUACUUAAGGUUACUGAAACUGUAUUCUAAGUUUUCUUGGUGUUCUUAGUCACUUUUCUCAUUGCUGGGAUGAAAACCCAACAGCCACAACUUAAAGGAGGACAGUUUUCUUUAAGCUCACAUUUUUGUCCAUGAUCACUGGCUCCAAGUGGAAGGGCCUGGGUGGAGGACAGCUGCUCAUCCCAUGGCAACCAGGAAGCAGAAAGAAAAGGAGGAACUGGGGAGGGAGAGACAGCCUUCCAGGACACCUCCCCAGUGAUCCACUGAAUGCUUCAAUUGAUGAACCCACUGGUAAGUACAGCACCCCCAUGAUCCAGACACUGGCCCAAAGCCCCAUCUCUGAACACAUGAGACUUUAGGAGGAUUUCUAGAUCUACACCAGGACACUUGGCCCUUGAAACUUGGUCUCACCACUACCACAACUGGUCCCCAAACCAUCAUCAAUAUUUUCUGUCUCCUUCUUCACACCCAUGUAGAUUUUCCCUAUCUUUGGUUAGAAAUUGAGCUUAUUUAACUUGCUUACGUGGUAGGGUAAUCUAGACUUUUAGCCCUGAAGGGUUUGAAUUUGGGGUUUUCUUGGCAUUGUCUGGCCACAGUUGCUGAGAUUCCUUACUGUUCAUUUCCUUAUAGCACAGAAACAUCAUAAUCACAAACAUCACAAGUGUUAGUGACUCUAAUGCUUCGUGACAGUUCAGGUUGGUUAAUCACCUGGAGUUAUAACCCAUUUACUUGUUGGCUGGUCUGCAAGCAUGAAGAGCUCAAGUUCACCAAGUGGCAGUAGUUGCUUUAGGUGCAGCAGAAUACUUUGUGUAUGCCCUGGUAUUGAUUUUCUUCUCCUUGGAACCAGAGCACUUGUGUCUCCAAGCUUGGCACUGGGAGUCCUGGAAGCAGGAACUCUGCAGGUGGUCACUGGGCAUGGUGACUAGAGAAGGUGGUGAUGCUUUUCUGCCUUAUUUCCAGGCUCACACAUAUAUUCCGGCACCGUGUAGUGACCAUUGCUUGAAUGUGUGUACCACUUCCUGGGGAUGGAGUCCAAACCUUUGAGCGUCACACCUGAGGAGGUGCAUUGCAGCUAGAAAGUAAUGCCAGUGCUUUCCAGAGUCUUGUCUGCAGUGUCACAGCAAGGGAUUACAGGAUUUGGGUCAGAGCAACCAGUAUAGAAAACUGCUCUGCUCAUUUAUCUCUCUAAAAUCAUUCAAUACUCUCUUCCCCCAAAUCUUUCUUGUCAAUUUUAAAAACUCUUUCCAAAAUAACCCCCAAACUAGUUCUGCCCCCCUGAGCUUUAUCUUUAAAUUCUUUUAUCUAUCCUUUCCUUUAGCUCUUGAUUUUAAUAGACUUUUUGUGGAUAUACUUUCCAAUAAAAGUAUUUUUCUGUAUUUUUAAAUAAAAAUUACUUUAGGCUUAUGGCUCCUUCCAAACCUCAAUGCAAUCUCUCCCCCAGCCAGCAUGAAAGAAGACCUGGGGAUUCUCCAACUCUAUCCAUGAAUGAGCCAUAUUUGGAGGAGGAAGGAAGAAUCACAGAGGACAGUUGCUCAUAAACAUGCUUGUUCUUGGUGCACCCACUUAGAUCAAAAGCUCUCCAGUGUACAGUGACUCCUUAGGUAUUUCUGACUCCUCUCCCUUCCUGAGGAGGCACCGCUGCCCUUUCAUCAGAGCGCUACAGGAGAGAAGCCUCGAUGCUGGCGGUGACCCACUGGCUGAAGGUCUCGGUCUUUUCUUUCCCACACUAUCUGCAGGAAGGCCGGGUGUGCACCUCCAGGCCUGUGUUAUUUAUCCUCCAUCAUUAUUUUUUAGUGCUUAUACACAUGCAAAGAUCAAACUUCAAUACUGAGUCUUUAUUACUCCAUCUCUUCCUGAAGUUUUGCAUCCCUUCAGUAAAACCUUCACAAUAUUACACAAUACUUUUUAUUGUGGAAAAUAAUGAUGUGAUUUUAUACUUCUUCAUUUCUGUAGCCAAAGCUUUCUAAAUUCGCCUCAGGGGAGUGACAAGAAUUCUCAGUAUCAUCUGACAAUGUAAGAACAGUGGCCUGAAGUGUCAAUUCCUACCUAAAGGACACUUUGGAAGCAUUCUCUUCGCACAGUGUCCCCUUCUUGGGUCACCCUUAAACUCUCUCAUGAAGCAGUAGUCAACUCUUUUAUCUUUCCGUGCCCUGUAGUCUAGGGGUUACAUCAUUGCAAAUUCCAUGUGUUUUUAUUGUCUAAAAAUUGUGUCACUUUACUGAAGUCUGCUCAAAACAUAGAAUUAUCCUUUGAUAGUAUUUCUUGUAAAACCUAGAUGGGUAGACUUUUGAUAAUGAUUAUUCUGCAGUAUCACCCUUCUGUUCAUUAACAAGAGUUUGGAUUAAAGCCACAUGACUUUGUUGCAGAGAAUAGUGUGAGAGAAACAGAGGUAAAAGAGGAAUGUACAGAGAGUGUUGAGAAUUCUGUGGCCUCCAGCUCCUAACCUGUGACAUUUCCUUCCUUCUUUAGGCAGCUGGGCCAGGGAGGAGUCUGCAGGACCUGGUGUGAUGGGAUGAACAUCCAAGGCUUUCAGAGGAUUUGGAGCCCAGAUAAAAUAUUGAAAGAAGUUUCAAGAGAGGACUUUUUCUAGAAUGAUGGUUCUUAAUGGGGGCAAUAUUUCCCACUAUGGAACAUUUGGCAAAGUCCACAGACAGUUUUGAUUGUCAGGACUUGGGGAGUAGGAGGCUACCUUCCCCCAUUGGGUACAGGCCAGAAAUGCUGCUAAAUAUUCUACAAAACACAGGACACACACAUGCCCCAACAAGGUAUCUGUUACAAAAUGUCUGUAGUGCUGAGGUUGAGAAACUCUGUUGUGAGAUAAAUUUUUUUUUUCUCGACUAGGGGUAAUGUGCCUGGAACAGGAGGACAGAACAGUAUACAGUAGGUGCUAGUGGCUCCAGAAAGGAGGCCCUCUGCCCUCUUUCAGCAUAUUGCUAAAGCUAGGCUAGAUCUGGGAGACCUGACACAAGCAGUUUAUUGGAAAUCCAGGCAGAGGAGGCCUCUGAUAUCCUCUCAUAGCAUUCCUAUGCCCAGCAGUCGUAUGGGAGAAACAUCAUAAUGUCCUUUCUCUAUGUCUGUGGCAGGAGAAUAGAGAGACAGCCACUGUACCUAAGCAGUUCAGGAGUGUAGGAAAUGCAUUCAUGUCUGCAGAUGUCAAGUAGACAAAUAACAGUGACAUCCAGAGAAGCAGCCCCACGGUUUCAGUUCUGUUUGAAUUAAAAACAAUCCACAGGAAAGGGAAGAAUUAAAUCACAGGAAAGACUGCUUGCCACCCUGGUGAAAAAGGAUUUAUAAUAGGAACUGAUCUGAACUACAGAAAAUAGAGAUACAUUUCAUGUGUACCUGUGGUUAUAGAGUGAAAUUUCACUCAUUUCACCUUCCACUGUGUUACUGACUGGUAGUUGGGAAUUAAACCAAUGCUAAUGAACAGGCUGCACACAUUCCAGCAUUACCUGAGCAUUUUUAACUGUGCCACAGACCUUGUCCCUUCCCAGUUUCUGCUAUGCUUAGGGAUAUGCACACCUCAGCUGACAAGUGCGAAGAUGAAGGCCCAUGCUACAAGUGAUUGCAUUUCCAUGACUGGUCCUUCCGUGUGGAAAUUCUAUUUUCCUUGACUUUUAUAAUCACCUGACUUCACGUACCAUGAUGCCAGUGAGUUUGUAUUUUCAAAGUGCAGGCUGACCUCCCUGUGGUUCAUAUGGAGACCUGUCUCCAGACUAAGGGUGACACCAGGUGUUGAAGGUCCUAGGAAGUCAUAGGUCAACCUUGAUUUUAAGAAACUCAAAUCUGUUCUGCAAGUUCCUGAUGAAUAUUUUUUAUAAAGAAUAUCUUGCAGAGCUUAUUUCUAUCUGGAGAAGACUUCUCUUCUUUUUCCACAGUAAGUUAUUAGCCUAUCUUUCUGUAACCUUUCAGUAAUAGGUUAUUUUAUUUUCCUUCUGAUUUACUGGUAGAUGAAUGUGCAUCUAAACAAUCAGAAAAGUGGUGUUCAAGACUAUGUUGUCUUUACCUAUGUAUUUAAGAGUAGCCUCCACCUGCUCCUGUAUGUGGUAAUCAUUGCGCACACACACACAUACACACACACAAAUGCAGUGUGUAGAAUACCCUGAUUUCACUUUGUGUAUUUUUUUGUUAUCUUGGUCAUGAAGAGAUGUCUGGAUUCCACUACCUCUAAUUCAAUUUAGGAAGAGAAACUGACACUCUAUAAGGAAUAAUAUUCUUACCAAAAUAGCCUCUUCUUUCAAUGUUCCUGGGAGGGCAACACAUUAAUUAUGGAGGAUUCUAACAGAAAAUGUGUAACAUACUUCACAGAAUCACACUCUCCUUCACCUGUCUUGAAGUCAGUAUUUGAUCAACAGUUAUUUCAAAGUUAUGUUAAGACACUUAAAGCAGACUUCCAAAAAGAGAGAGAUAAACAUUGACAAUUCUUGUACAUAGCAAUCCAAAUUGCUCCCUUGAAAUGUCCCAUAUUUAUUCCAAAAGAGGCAUUUAUUGGCAACUAUUAACAUAAGCAAAGUAUCUUUAAAUGAAAGUCAUGUUGUAUUACUGACGAGUCUAAGGGAAAUUACAGACUUCUAACUAUUCUAUAUUUCUGAUGCAAUAUCAAAACACAAUUCCAUAACCCAAUUAUUAUAAAUAAUUCCUUGGAAGAUUAAACACUCUAGGCCACAGAACAACUGCAUAUAAUUGUUUUAAAUAAUGUCAAAGCGCUAUUUUUUAAAUAUUCAUAUAAUUAGAAAAAAUAAAUACUGUGCCAAAGUCACCAAAUUCCUGACUUGUCCCUGAAAAAUCUCAGGGUAAUUCAUAAAUAAAGAAAUGCUGUUCUAAAGGAGACUUUGAGUGUGGUUCAAACAGACUCAUCAUAAUGACUUUAAACAUUCUUUGGCAUUUGAUUUCUUAGUGCAGAAGAGAAUGUAAUUGGGAGGCUUUUCUGUUGGCAUCUUACUCUAGAGGUCACAGUUUACCGACUAUAAAUUCCAACAUAUCUGUCUCUAGCCCUGUUGUGGUCGCUUGACAUACUCCCCAGACUGCGGCUGGCUGCUGAUUAUUUCCACUGUCUGAUGGUUUUUUCAGAUUUCUGUGGAUUUGACUUGAUUUAUUCUGUGGACAUGAGCCUUGAACAACCCCAGAUGAAAGGAACAGACUGUGUUGUGGUUGGUUUGAUGGGGACAGGGAAGCCACAGACAGGGAUGGAAACCAAGGUCAGCAGGCAGUGGAGACCCACAUGUGGCAACAUUGUCCAUAGUACUCUGUAAAACCUGAACUUAGUUCUUAAUACAAAAGUCAUGGAUAACCCUGAUAAUCAUGAUGAAACUGACCUCCAAGUGUGAAAAUACAUAUAUCAUAAAUCAUGAAAUUAAUUCAUUCUUUUGUAGCCACUGAAGCCUUAAAAAGUGAAUUUCUGUUUGGUGUAGCACUGAUUUCACAUCUUCUGAGGCAGACAAUGUCUCUGUGGGAUGCAUGUUUUGCACGUUUAUUAGCCAGGAAACCUGGGAAUACAGAGAACUGAUUUUUUUCAUUGAAGAGGAGUUCACAUAGGGCUGCAAGGGGCUCCAAAGCUACUCUAAACUAAACUUCACACUUGUUAUUAGCACCCUGUAAAACAAAGCAAAUACAGUAAUGGUACCCAAGUGUUAGGGUCCCCCCAUGGCCUUCAUGUGUUCAGAGAUGAGACUUUCUAGAAGGUGACCCAUGGGAGGUCUAGCUAAAUGUGCUGUUAGGAGGUGGGGCCUGCUGGGAAGAGGUGGUCACUAGGGACAGGAGGGGGCCUGGAAAGGUGAGUCUCCCUCCCUGGUUCCUCCUUCUUUCUCCAUUUCCUCCACCUGGGCCUCCCACUGUGCCUUUCCACUUGGGGCCUCCUGACUAUGGACUGAUAUCUCUAAAAUAUGUGCCUCCCUUAUGUGGCAGGGUCAGGUAUUGGGUCUCAGUGAGGGGAAGUGACUAAGACAUAAACCUUUAAACCUGCUGUGAAGGUUUGCUGAUCAAAUAUGUGAAAUGCACAUGUUAACUGAUUGCCAUUACUAUCAUUGAAAACCACUCUGCUUUUCUCCCUAGUUGUUGGACAGUAGUAGCUAUCGUUCAAUGGAUGCCUGCCACAUGCCAUGUAUUUUAUGCAAUAAUGUUUCAUUUAAUCCUCCCCCUUACUCUUCGAAGUAGUUACUAUUCAUGCUGAUUUAUAGAUAGGAAACUUAAUUUUCAUAAAAUCAAUCAUUUUCCCAAUCUUAGCUCCAGUAAUUAUAGAGAAAAAAUUCAAACUAUACUUUUCUACAGUCUUACAGUUUUAUGGGUAGAAAGCACUAUGGAAAGUUAGGAUGAAACUGCUUUAUGUUCCAGGGGCUUGACUUUUGAUCUACCCCUUGGUCUCCUUUGGAGCAAAGAAAGACACUGAAAUAGAUGCUGUAUUACCUGCAGGACUUCCAAACCACACACAAAGACAGUUCAAUGCACUUUCCUCACAUUUUCUUUCUUUUUCCAGCUGUUUUGUACAGAAGACAACUUUGCAACCUUCAGUGAAUGGAGAAAAAGUAUUUGAAGGGAUCAAACUCAGGACCUCGAGCUUGCCAGGGAGGUGCUAUGCUGCUGAGCUACAGCCCAAGCCCUCUUAAUGACAGUAUCUUGCAACCCAUACUAUCUUAGAUUCAACAAAUAGCAAAGAAAUAGCAAGACUAGGAUUUGUCACCUGGAGUGCAUGAUUCCAAACUUCGGACUAUUUUCUGGCCAACAAUAAUUUUUACCUGAAAGAUUCAAGCAAUUAAGCAAAGAGAAAGUCAGAGAGGAAAGGGUGAGGCCACUUCAGUGUGAGGCAGAUUUUUGUUGCCUGUGUGGAAGGAGCCAUCCAGAAGGACCUGAGCACUGUCUGUAGGAUUAUGAGGACUUCUGCCCUGUAACCGCCAAGAACUGAACUCGACCAGCAAGCUGAGUUGGAAGGGGCUUCUGCCCUAGCACCUUCACAUGAGACUCCAGGACAGCAGACACCUCACUUCUGGGUUUUGAGACUCCAAGCACACAUCACAGUCACCUAGACUAUUGACCUGCAGGACUGGAACAUGACAGCUGUGAUUAUUUCACACCACUGAGCUGUGGAAGUUUGUUUCCUAGCCAGGAACAACUGAAACACUAUGUGUAACACCAUUUG